ensembl:lncRNA
GAGCUGACAAGGUACAAAUCUGUCGUUCUGCCCCUGAACAGGCAGUUAACUCCUAGGCCGUCAUUGAAAAUAAGAAUUUGUUCUUAACUGACUUGCCUGGUUAAAUAAAGGUAAAAAAAAAUAAUUGGGGAGUCCAAUGGAUUUUGAUUGUCCUUUUAUAGCUCUUUCUGCACCAUUCCACUUCUCAUGAAUUUGCCGUUCUGCGUUCGUGUCAUUUUGUGUUUUAAAAUGGGUUGUGUUUAAAAGUGGGUUGUCAAUAUGUCACCAUUUUGUAUCGCUAAUUCCUCGUUUAGAUUAUUUUUUCUCCAAUAUUGCCAGAAGUUGUUUGUGUUUAUGGACUUCUCAAUUAGUGCCAGCUGCUUGCUGUUGUACUGUGCUUUUUUAUACAUUUAUAGAGUUUUAAAGGCUCACAGUAAUGAAGGUGUAAUUCACCAUUAUUUGGGUCUCUGUGGUAGAAUACGUUUUUUAAAAUAAUUUUACAAUCUGCAUCAAACCAGUUGUCAUCUGUGGUCUUUUUUGUAAAAAAAUAAAAAAUCCAUUUCAGUUGUGCUUAUUUUGCUGUUUGCCUGAAUAUAUAGUUGAUGUUUUGUACUGCUAGAUUGAUGCCUUCUUCACUGUGAGUGAAUGUGGUAUCCAGAAAGUUAUCUAAGAAACUCUGGAUAUUUGGGUUACAGGUUGAUUUCUGGUAUUCUUCUGUGCUGUUUUGGACCCAUCUGUAUGAAUGUCUGAUGUUGUACAGCUUACUGAACUGUGAAUGUCUGAUGUUGUACAGCUGACUGGGCUGUGAAUGUCUGGUGUUGUACAGCUGACUGGACUGUGCAUGUCUGAUGUUGUACAGCUGACUGGGCUCUGAUGUUGUACAGCUGACUGGGCUGUGAAUGUCUGAUGUUGUACAGCUGACUCUGACUGGGCUGUCUGGUUGUUUCCAUGUCUGUUCUUUUGAGGAACAACA